rnacentral:sRNA from 1 species
AUCUAGUCUUAGAAAAAGUGGAUCUAGUCUUAGAAAAAGUGG